rnacentral:lncRNA from 1 species
CUGUGUUCCUUCUAAGGGUUCUAGGGGGAAAAUCUGUUUCCUCGCCUUUUCUCCUGCUUCUGGAGGCUGCCUGUGGUCCUUGGCUUGUGGCCCCUUUCUUAUGGACGGGGAGACACCCGAAGCCUCAUUGUUUGGACGUGACCUUGGACUUCCUGCCUCCGGAAUGGUGAGAGAUAAGUGCCGUCGAAGGCCCACGUCCGUGGUACGUAUGAUGGCAGCCGAGCUCACCGAGACCCCCUUCCUCCAUCUGCGGGGCCAUCGGGCAGCAUCUUCCCGCGUCUCUUCCGGCCUGGUGCAUGCCUGUUGCAAGCACCGUGGUGAUCACAUUCAGGGCCCACCUGGAAGGCCCGGGAUUGUCCCACCGCGAGGUCCUUAACUCCAUCACAUUGGCAAAGUCCCUUUUGUCCAAAGAAGGUGACAUCAUCGCAGGUCUGGGGGAUGGGGUGCGGACGUCUUUGGGGACCCCCGAGCCAACCACAGAGGGUGACAUUUCUCAGUUAACACUUGUCACAUCUCAAUUUUGAAACCUAUGACUCUUACCUAUUGAGACACACAAUGCCAGUCAAACUAAGGGGAGGUGAGAGGGGCCCGGAGUGUGUGUGUGUGUGUGUGUGUGUGUGUGAGCUGGCGUUGACCCCUCCUUGGGCCCAUGCCUCUCCUCUGAGGGAAAGAGGCAGCAAUGGAUA